rnacentral:rRNA from 1 species
AACACAUGCAAGUCGAGGGGCAGCGGAGAUGUAGCUUGCUAUAUCUGCCGGCGACCGGCGCACGGGUGAGUAACAUGUAUGAAACCUGCCCGUAGCAGGAGGAUAAGCGGAAGAAAAUUCCGUCUAAUACUGCGUAAUAUCCUCUGGGGGCAUCCCCCGGGGGAUUAAAGGGAAGCGAUUCCGGCUACGGAUGGUCAUGCACCGCAUUAGCUAGUUGGCGGGGUAACGGCCCACCAAGGCGACGAUGCGUAGGGGUUCUGAGAGGAAGGUCCCCCACACUGGUACUGAGACACGGACCAGACUCCUACGGGAGGCAGCAGUGAGGAAUAUUGGUCAAUGGGCGCGAGCCUGAACCAGCCAAGUCGCGUGAGGGAAGACGGCCCUAUGGGUUGUAAACCUCUUUUGUCGGGGAGCAAAGGCGUCUACGCGUAGACGGAUGAGAGUACCCGGAGAAAAAGCAUCGGCUAACUCCGUGCCAGCAGCCGCGGUAAUACGGAGGAUGCGAGCGUUAUCCGGAUUUAUUGGGUUUAAAGGGGUGCGCAGGCGGAGAGAUAAGUCAGCGGUAAAAUUAGGAGGCUCAACCUCCACGAGCCGUUGAAACUGUUUUUCUAGAGUGAGCGAGAAGUAUGCGGAAUGCGUGGUGUAGCGGUGAAAUCCAUAGAUAU